UCGGCAACGGAUAUCUCGGCUCUCGCAUCGAUGAAGAACGUAGCAAAAUGCGAUACUUGGUGUGAAUUGCAGAAUCCCGUGAAUCAUCGAGUCUUUGAACGCAAGUUGCGCCCGAAGCCUUUAGGCCGAGGGCACGUCUGCCUGGGCGUCAUGCACU
rnacentral:rRNA from 1 species